UACGUAGGGUGCGAGCGUUGUCCGGAAUUACUGGGCGUAAAGCGCACGUAGGCGGCUUGUAAGUUAGAGGUGAAAGCCCAGGGCUUAACCCUGGAAUUGCCUUUAAGACUGCAUCGCUAGAAUCGUGGAGAGGUGAGUGGAAUUCCGAGUGUAGAGGUGAAAUUCGUAGAUAUUCGGAAGAACACCAGUGGCGAAGGCGACUCACUGGACACGUAUUGACGCUGAGGUGGCGAAAAGCGUGGGGAGCAAACAGG
rnacentral:rRNA from 1 species